AGUGUUAUUUUUUCUGAAACAUUGAAACAAUCUUAGGAUACCUUCUGACACGAUGCUUAAUUUUCUGUGAAUGAGAAGUCAUCUGUAUUCUGAUGAUACA
rfam:Triticum aestivum genome assembly, contig: Triticum_aestivum_CS42_TGACv1_scaffold_032844_1BL